UACGUAGGGUGCGAGCGUUAAUCGGAAUUACUGGGCGUAAAGCGUGCGCAGGCGGCGCGUUAAGACAGGUGUGAAAGCCCCAAGCUUAACUUGGGAAUUGCGCUUGUGACUGGCGUGCUGGAGUGUGGCAGAGGGAGGUGGAAUUCCACGUGUAGCAGUGAAAUGCGUAGAGAUGUGGAGGAACACCGAUGGCGAAGGCAGCCUCCUGGGCCAGCACUGACGCUCAUGCACGAAAGCGUGGGGAGCAAACAGG
rnacentral:rRNA from 1 species